rnacentral:rRNA from 1 species
AACCUGGUUGAUCCUGCCAGUAGUCAUAUGCUUGUCUCAAAGACUAAGCCAUGCAUGUCUAAGUAUAAGUAUUAUACAGCGAAACUGCGAAUGGCUCAUUAAAACAGUUAUAAUUUAUUUGAUAAUCGAAUUUACAUGGAUAACCGUGGUAAUUCUAGAGCUAAUACAUGCUGGUAGGCCCGACUUUUUGGAAGGGCGGUAUUUAUUAGAUAACAAACCAAUAUUCCUCUGGUCUAUUGUGGUGAAUCAUAAUAACUGAUCGAAUCGCAAGGUUUUUAACCGCGAUAAGUCAUUCAAGUUUCUGCCCCAUCAGCUUUCGAUGGUAGUGUAUUGGACUACCAUGGCUUUUACGGGUAACGGAGGAUAAGGGUUCGAUUCCGGAGAGGGAGCCUGAGAAACGGCUACCACAUCUAAGGAAGGCAGCAGGCGCGUA